UACGUAGGGGGCAAGCGUUGUCCGGAAUCAUUGGGCGUAAAGAGCGUGUAGGCGGUCCGGUCAGUCGGUUGUGAAAGUCAAGGGCUCAACCCUUGAAUGCCGGCCGAUACUGCCGGGCUAGAGUCCGGAAGAGGUGAGUGGAAUUCCUGGUGUAGCGGUGAAAUGCGCAGAUAUCAGGAGGAACACCGAUGGCGAAGGCAGCUCACUGGGACGGUACUGACGCUGAGACGCGAAAGCGUGGGGAGCAAACCGG
rnacentral:rRNA from 1 species